AAGCCUAGAGCGAGGGCUUUAUUGGUGGUUAUCUGUCUGGAGUGGACGCGGUGAUACCGCUAAGGAUAACAACUUUGGUACCAAAGGCAUUUGCACGAGUCUCACUUGAGUCAUAUGUGUUAUGGUGAUAUUUUUGGAGAGAUUUGAUGUGGUGGUAAUUAGAGACUAUUAUAUAUGUUCUAAUUGAGCUAUAAUUUAUGGAGUAUUUGCCAUAACUGUGAACUUGAUUAAUUAUGUUAAAAUUACAUAAUUUAUUAUUUGUUAGUGAAUGUGAGUAAUUUAUGUGGAGCAUAGAUAAGCUUUUACAUUAUUUAUUAUUAUGCUUAUCCAUAUGAUAUGAGUUCUCACCCUUCUGUUGGAAUGAUGUUCUAUGCGACAUCGCUCAGGUACUGAAGAUAGUAGAGCUUCUCGCGAGGGUUAGUUGGAGGAGCUAGUCUUUCAUUUACGGUUUAGUUAGGAGAGUCAUGCUCUGUUAUGUAACACCGGGAAACGUUUAGUUUUGUACCUUGAUGUUAAGAGUUACCUAUGAACUCUCUUUAUGUUAAAUUUUGGAGUUGAAAUAAAUCCGCUGUGCUAUGCAUAUGAUGUUGCGACAUUAAAGUUGGAAAAUUUAUAUAUUUAUUAUGAGCAUGACAUGUGUUUUGAUUUAUGUUUCUGGAGAAUAAGUGUGACACCCUCUGUGUUAUGCAUUUUACUCUGAUUUAUGAUAUAUUAUUAUGCGGGGUUUAGAGGGUGUUACAUUAGUGGUAUCAGAGCAUGGUCGGUUAGUAGACUAGGUUUAUCAGCAUGUUUAUUAACAUGUUUAAUUCCUUUUGUAUUCGAUAUGUGUCUAUGACACAAUCGAUAUUGUUUUGGUCAGUAGGAUAGAAGAAGUCCUACCCCGAGUUGUUAAUUUAAGGUAAUUUUCGAGGGCGAAAAUUCUUAAGUGGGGGAGAGUUGUAACACCCCACUUUUCGUUAUUAGGUUAUUUAUUAUUUUAUCUUAAUUAUUAUUAUGCUAUAUGGUAAUUUGAUGAAUUAUGUGAUUAUAAUUUAAAUCUCAUGUGAUAUAGAAUAAGAUUUAGAUAAAUAAGUUUGUUAGGUUUUUGUGUGAGUAAUUGAGAGUGGGGCCCAUUAGUAUGACUAUUUAAGGGAUAUGAGUGAAUUAGAAAGAGAGAAAUCAGAAUUUGAGAAUUGGAGAAGUUAGCAGAGGAGAAGAAAAGAAGCGUGAAAGAGAGAAGGGGAGAAAAGAGAAGAAAAAACCUAGAAUUUGAUCUUCAAGAGGUACAGGAGGUAGAGAUGUGGCUCAUGAGGAGUAGCUUCGGAGAGUCUUAGCUUAUGUUAUUAUUAUUAUUAUUAUAAAAUAAGUGUCUUGCUCUGUAAUGUAACACUGGUUAGAUAUUUUACGUUACUUUUACAUUUAUGUUGAGAGGAUUUUAUAAUCUCUUCUUAUGGAAGUUGUUGAAUAAUUUUCUAAAUGAUGGCGAUGUCGUACUGUUGACGGCCGAAGUGCUUAUGAAAUUCAGUUCUGAGUAUGAUGAAUUUUAUUGGAAUAUCAUGGAAGAUAAACCUAUUUAAAUAAGUGAUUUUAUGCAUCUUAGGAUUAUCUGACUGGUUUAGAAAUUUCAUUGGCAGGAAUAAUUCAUUCUUUGAAAAGCAUAUGAACUUAUAAAUUUUCAAACACAAUCAGUGUUAAUUUUAAUGAGUUUUCGUGAAGAAGUGUAAUACUCCCUUGAUAUGUUUUUAAACUCUGAUAAACGUUUUUAAAUAAAACAAUGGGAAAAAGGGGGUGUUACAAAAGUGGUGGUUAUUUGAAAAGAGUUGUGUGUGAGAGUUAUUUCUAGAACUGUAAGAAUCAUGGCUAGUUUCAUUUAGCUGGAAAACAUGUGUAUGAUCUGAACAAAUUCUGGAUUUGUUGCUGGAAGGGUAGGCUGGUGUAAAGGCAUCCCUAUGCUUUUCUGAGACAUGUAUCUGUAUAUUUGAUUCUAUAUAGUACUUGAUACUUGUUGAUAAAGUUAAGAAGAGUAAUGUGUAUGUUGUGCUUGCCUGUUAGGAAGCCUGAAAGAUACUCAAGCGUUUAUGUGAUAUACUCACCCGUUGGCUUAAAAAGAAACCUUUGGAGAACCCAUUGAUGUGGAGAUUAUAGGAAGCCUGAGAGAUGCUCAAGCUUUUUCUCGUAAUCAUGCUCACAAAGACACUGGUAAUUGAGAGUUGAUACAUGAAUUUUAGCAUUCUUUGUAUAGAAAUUAUGUUAUCAGUACUAUUGCAGCUGGACUUGAUGGAAUUCAUUUAGCUAUUUCUACUGCCACUCGUUUAGCUAUAUUGAUAUUGAUUCCUCUCCCACAUCGGUGACUGUCUCUGGCCAGAUUAUUUUAUGAGGUGGUGAAAAAGAUCGUUAUGGGGAAAAAGAUUGGAGCAUGUAUUUAGUAGAAAGUCUAAAUUAAGGGUUAACAGUGUGUGCUACUUCACUUUCUGUAAC